CCAUGAUAUCAGGAUUUUGAGGAGAGAAGGCUUUAUUGCCAGGUCGACUGGCAUGAAGACAGAAGGACAGGCUCAUAUCUGUCUCCCGGAGCUGAAUGGAGGCAAGAAGGCCUGGAUUCUACCUUACCAAUCACCCUACCUCCUGUGACGUUCUUCAGGACCAAUAGCGGACUAAAUUGUUCAGCGCCAUCUUGCUCUUAGUUUCCGGAGUCCAGGACUCAGGACACUGCCUGUCCCAGCUGAUGUGAGCUUCAUGACACUGGAGGAGGAGG